rnacentral:sRNA from 1 species
UCUAGCCCCGAUUGCAGUGGAAAUCCUUUUGUACUGGUGUUCAGUACAAAAGAUUGAAACGGAAAGCGGGACGA